CGGCGGCGGAGUUCUGGGUGAACUCUCAGGACCUCCAGAUGACAGCUGGAAUGGUAGCCAGGUGGAAUGCUAUGGAAUAUGAUGAGAAGCUGGCCCGGUUCCGGCAGGCCCACCUCAACCCCUUCAACAAGGAGCUGGGGCCAAGGCAGCAUGAGCAGGGACCUAGUGAGCAGGCCCUGGACAUUUCUUCUGAAGAGGCCCUGCCUGAGCUGCCCCCUGGGGAGCCUGAGUUCCACUGCUCCGGGCGCGUGAUGGAUCUCGGCCUGUCUGAGGACCACUUCUCCCGCCCUGUGGGUCUGUUCCUGGCCUCCGAUGUCCAGCAGCUACAGCAGGCGAUUGAGGAGUGCAGGCAGGUGAUCCUGGAGCUGCCUGAGCAGUCGGAGAAGCAGAAGGACGCAGUGGUCAGGCUCAUCCACCUGCGGCUGAAGCUGCAGGAGCUGCAGGACCCCAAUGAGGAUGAGCCCAACAUUAGGGUCCUUCUUGAGCACCGCUUCUACAAGGAGAAGAGCAAGAGUGUCAAGCAAGCCUGUGACAAGUGCAAGACCGUCAUCUGGGGACUCCUUCAGACUUGGUACACCUGCACAGGGUGUUACUACCGCUGCCACAGCAAGUGCUUGAGCCUCAUCUCCAAGCCCUGCGUGAGCUCCAAAGUUAGCCACCAGGCUGAGUAUGAGCUGAACAUCUGCCCUGAGACAGGGCUGGACAGCCAGGAUUACCGCUGCGCGGAGUGCCGGGUGCCCAUCUCUUUGCGGGGCGUGCCCAGCGAGGCCCGUCAGUGCGACUACACAGGCCAGUACUACUGCAGCCACUGCCACUGGAAUGACCUGGCCGUCAUCCCUGCACGAGUGGUGCACAACUGGGACUUUGAGCCCCGCAAGGUGUCUCGCUGCAGCAUGCGCUACCUGGCGCUAAUGGUGUCCCGGCCAGUGCUCCGACUCCGGGAGAUCAACCCUCUGCUCUUCAACUACGUGGAGGAGCUGGUGGAGAUCCGGAAGCUGCGCCAGGACAUUCUGCUCAUGAAGCCAUACUUCAUCACUUGCAAGGAGGCCAUGGAAGCUCGUCUGCUACUGCAGCUCCAGGACCGGCAGCACUUUGUGGAGAACGAUGAGAUGUACUCCAUCCAGGACCUGUUGGAUGUCCACGUGGGCCGCCUGGGCUGCUCGCUCACUGAGACCCACACACUCUUCGCCAAGCACAUCAAGCUGGACUGUGAGCGGUGCCAGGCCAAGGGGUUCGUGUGUGAGCUCUGCAGAGAGGGCGAUGUGCUGUUCCCAUUCGACAGCCACACAUCUGUGUGUGCCGACUGCUCAGCCGUCUUCCACAGGGACUGCUACUACGACAACUCAACCACAUGUCCCAAGUGUGCCCGGCUCAACUUGAGGAAGCAGUCACUCUUCCAGGAGCCCGAUCCAGACUUGGAUGCCUAGAACACUGGGCACACCACCUGCCUAUCUGGCACCCACCCCACUGGCAUUGUCAAAGCCAGGGUGCUGUUUCUGCCCUGAAGACCCUUUGGGUGCAUCCUUUGGAUGUCUUCACUCCUGCUGGGCCAGAAGUGGAGAUGGGAUCUACAGUUUUGAACAGGAUCUCAAAGGGGCUAUGAUCCAGAUGACACCAGGACUCUGCUUUAGGAAGUGUCUUUAUACAUCAUCCAUAUGUAACUGCAUCCAGAUGGACUAGUAUGCUGCAACUCUCUGCCCCAGAGAAGCCCAAGAGCACAUCUACUUCUUUCCUUCUAUUGGAGACCCUUAGAAGGGUAAGAGGAAGGGCUUCCCAGGGCAAUUGUGGACUGGGAUGCUGACUAUGCCUCCAACAACUCAGUAGCUAAAGUUGCACUUGGGACAUGAGAUAGAGAGUGCAAUUUUCCCCCUUUCAGAAUAUGCUUUUUUCUUUUUAUGUUUUCACUUUGGCAAAUUGAAAUUUACAGGAAAGUUGUAAAAAUCUCCCCAUUUGCCACCUCCUGGAUUCUCUAAAUGUUAACAUCUGGCGCCACAUGCUAUUCUCUUCCUUCACACAUUCCGCUCUGAGACAUUGGACAUCAAGCUGCAAACAGCUUGCUUCUAUACUCUUCCUUUUCUGUGCAUAUGUGUGUAUACCCACUCCAUAGAGACACUGCCUUUCAUGGCCAUAGUGCAACCAUCAAAGGAAAUUAAUACUGACACAGUACUAUAAAACUUAUAGCAGAUCUUAUUCAGAUUUUGCAAGUUUUCUAUUUUAUAGUCAACCUCGUUUCCUUCUCCCAAAUCUCAGACUACAUUCUGUUGCCAAGUCUCUUUAGCCUUUUUUUUUUUUUUUUAAUUUUUUAAUAUUUAUUUUUUAGUUUUCGGCGGACACAACAUCUUUGUUGGUAUGUGGUGCUGAGGAUCGAACCCGGGCCGCACGCAUGCCAGACGAGCGCGCUACCGCUUGAGCCACAUCCCCAGCCCCUCUCUUUAGCCUUUAAUCUGACCAAACACUGACAUUUUUGAAAGGUGCAUCAGACUUUUUUUUGGUGGUGGUUGUUGGUAAUCACACCUAGGGAACUCACAUGUGCUAGGCACGUGUUCUACUACAAAGCUACAUUCCCCAGCCCCCAGACGAUUUUUUUUUUUUAAAGAAAGGGGGGGAGAGAGAGAAUAUUUUUUUUUUAAUAUUUAUUUUUCAGUUCUCGGCAGACACAACAUCUUUGUUUGUAUGUGGUGCUGAGGAUCGAACCCGGGCCGCACGAAUGGCAGGGGAGCUCGAUACCGCUUGAGCCACAUCCCCAGCCCCCAGACGAAUUAUUUUGAAGAACAAUUCUAAUGAUGUCCACUAACAAUUGAUGAUUGACUAAUUGUCAUUCUACCUACAUUUAUAAGUUGACUAUUAUCUGGAAGAGUUCUAUUUCUCUUUUUAUGUCCUCGAGUUUCUACUUUACUCAUUGAGUUCUUUACUGAAAUCAUAAUGUCCCAGAUUAGGCCAGUGGUAGCCUUUCAACCUGUUUUCUGUAUCCUCAUGUGCCUCUUUAUUUAUUUACAUAUAUAUAUUAUAUAUAUAUAUAUAUAUAUAUAUAUAUAUAUUAUAUAUAUUUUAAAGAGAGAGAGAAUUUUAAUAUUUAUUUUUUUAGUUAUCGGCGGACACAACAUCUUUGUUUGUAUGUGGUGCUGAGGAUCGAACCCUGGGCCGCACGCAUGCCAGGCAAGCACGCUACCGCUUGAGCCCCCUCUUUUUUUCUUACUAAGCCACAAAGGGUGGUCUUGAAUUCAAGCCUUCUGAAUAGUUGGGACUAAUGGGCCCAUGCCCGUGCCUGGCACACACUUUCUGAUAUAUGCAAGAAGGUAAUGAGAAACAAUGUGUAGUUUUAAUUUGUAUUUCUCUAAUUACAAGUAUGAUUGAACUUCUUUUCAUAUUUCGGAAUCUAAUUUAUGAAUUGUCUUUUUUUUAUGUGGUGCUUAAGUACCUCACACAUACCAGGCAAGCACACUACUACUUGAGCCAUAUCUCCAGCCCCAUGAAUUGUCUUUUGUCCAAGUAUUUUCCUUCUCAAACUUUAAGAAUUCUAUGCAAGUUAGGGAUUUAGCCCAUUUAUUGUGAAAUAUCUUGCAAAUAUUUUCUUUCAGUUUCUCAAUACCUUUUGACCUUGUUUGCAUUCCCAUGGAAAUGUUUUAUUUUGAUUAUACUUUUAUAUGGCCAAAAUUGAUUAAUAUUUUGUUUCACUUAAUCUGGGCUUCAAGUCAUUGAAAAAUUUUCCCUACACCUGGGUAAAAAGGCAUCCACUUCUGGGAGUGGUGGUGUGUGCCUCAAGUUCUAGGCUCAGCAGACUGAGGCAGGAGGGUCAUUUGAGCCCAGAAGUUCAGGACCAGCUGGGUAACAGCUAGACCCCGUUUCUAUAAAAGAAGAGAAAUUCACUCAUGCACACUUGCAUGGUUUCACAUUUCUCUUCAGAUUCCUGGUCUGUUUUGAGCAUAUUUUGUGAGGUAUAGAUCUAAUUUUAUGUUCCUCCAAACGGUCAACCAGUUAUCUUGAACUAUCUUUUGCAAAAUCUAUCUGCAUCCAUGUCUGAACUCUCUGUUCCCAUCCACAAGCCUGACUCUCACACUGCUUUAAUUAUGGGGCCUUGAUCUUGUGCUCUAAUGUCUGAAAAGGCUAGUCUCCUUUUUGCAAGUUUUCUUUUUUUCCUGAUGUAAAUAAAAAAAAUGUUUUCACAGAUGUAAA